GACGAACGCUAGCUACAGGCUUAACACAUGCAAGUCGAGCGGAAACGCCCUUCAGUUCUUGCAUUCUUUGGACGCCGACGGGUGCACGGGACGGUAAUGCCCUUCCAACCUCUCUAUUACAACUGGAGAAAACUGCGGAAAGUACACUAAUAACGCUUAGGCUUCGUUGAGGGGAUUGGAAUUGUAGUGCAGUUUUAGAUGGACUGGCUGGGGAUGCGUUUGAUUGGCUUGUUGGCGGGGAACAGGGCCACCAAGGCGACGAUCAGUAGGGGUUCUGAGAGGAAGGUCCCCCACAUUGGAACUGGGACACGUUCCAAACUCCUACGGGAGGCAGCAGUGAGGAAGAUUGGUCAAUGGACGGAAGUCUGAACCAGCCAAGUAGCGUGCAGGAUGACGGCCCUAUGGGUUGUAAACUGCUUUUGUAUGGGGAUAAAGUUAGGGACGUGUCCCUAUUUGCAGGUACCAUACGAAUAAGGACCGGCUAAUUCCGUG
rnacentral:rRNA from 1 species